AUUUGAAAGCUGGCGUCUUCGACGUCCGCGUUGUAAUUUGUAGAGGAUGCUUCGGCGAAGACUCCUGCCUAAGUCCCCUGGAACGGGGCGUCAUAGAGGGUGAGAAUCCCGUAUGUGGCGGGCAGUCUAAGCCAUGUGAAGCUCCUUCGACGAGUCGAGUUGUUUGGGAAUGCAGCUCUAAAUGGGAGGUAAAUUUCUUCUAAAGCUAAAUAUUGGCCAGAGACCGAUAGCGCACAAGUAGAGUGAUCGAAAGAUGAAAAGCACUUUGGAAAGAGAGUUAAAAAGUACGUGAAAUUGUUGAAAGGGAAGCGCUUGCAACCAGACUCGCUCGUAGUUGCUCAGCCGGCCUCUUGGCCGGUGUACUCUUCUACGAUCGGGCCAGCAUCAGUUCGGGCGGCAGGAUAAAGGUGUCGGGAAUGUAGCACCCUUCGGGGUGUGUUAUAGCCCGGCGCGGAAUGCUGCCAGCCUGGACUGA
rnacentral:rRNA from 1 species